UACGGAGGGGGCUAGCGUUGUUCGGAAUUACUGGGCGUAAAGCGCGCGUAGGCGGACCUGCAAGUCGGGGGUGAAAGCCCGAGGCUCAACCUCGGAACUGCCUUCGAUACUGCGGGUCUCGAGUCCGGGAGAGGUGAGUGGAAUUCCUAGUGUAGAGGUGAAAUUCGUAGAUAUUAGGAAGAACACCAGUGGCGAAGGCGGCUUCUUGGGCCGUUCCUGACGCUGAGGCGCGAAAGCUGGGGGAGCGAACGGG
rnacentral:rRNA from 1 species